GGGGAUUUAGCUCAGUGGUAGAGCGCUUGCCUAGCAAGCCAAGGCCCUGGGUUCGGUCCCCAGCUCCA
rfam:Rattus norvegicus chromosome 8, whole genome shotgun sequence.